AAAAAAAAAAUCACAUUCAAACAUUAUUGUUUUGGUAUGAUGUCAGUUGGCCGGAUUUGAAGUGGAAAAUUUACUCAACACCAUGUGACCAUCAAACCACAACUGACAACUUGGCAUGGAAAAAUGUGUCUAUCAACCUCACUUCAAGGCAGCCGAUAUGGGACCACCAGAACUCUAUGAUCCAUCAGCUCUACUCAACACUCCAAAGGAUAAACAACUGACUGUGUUGUGAAGUCUGACACUAUUUUGGGAGAAAUGUUAUUGUAAGUUAGGCUAUAUGGAUAUCCUUCAGCCACCAACUCCUAAUAAAAGAUUCAGAAAUGGACAACAAAUAAAUGACUAAAUUGCCUAAUGUGUUGAGGUUGAUUCUUUGUAAUAUAUUGACUGUUGACUGUAGCCUAUAGACUGGGUCUAAAUUUUAGAACAGAUUGUUGUGUAUUGUAUGAUUGUUGUGUUAU